GAAAUCGGACCUCAUAUAUAAACUGACUCAGCUAUUUCUAAAGCCCCCAUUUAUCCCGAAAAUACAAGAAUUGUGAGAAAGAAAUAUGAUAUGCUUAUUUCACAACAAGAGUCAUUUUCUCAGCCGCAAAAUUAAAAAGCACUGCCAGUAUGCCUGCAUCAUAUACUGUUCAUGCUAUUUCCUCCUCGAGAUGCGGAAUUGCUUCCUUUCAUGUGGGGGAACUUUAUUCCAGAGCUAACCAAAUAACAAGGUAGAAGAUGCAUGCGUGUGGUGCCGUGAGCUAUGGUGCUCACAAUCCCUUCAAGAAAAUCUGCGUCAGGAAGGAGGUUGGGGAAGCAGUUCAUUCCUGCAGAAGGAUUUUCGUGGAGAAGUAAAUCAAUAUGAAGAAUGGCAAGUAAAAAAAAAAAAGGAAAUUUUUAACAUUCACAAUGGAUUGUAUUGGGCUCUGUGUCUUCAUGAGACGAUGUCAUCCCUCGAAAAUUGGUGAAAAUAGGAGGAAAACAGAAAAUGUCAAAGAAAACAGUUCUCUUUACUCUUCUGAAUAUAUAUAUAUAUAUAUAUAUAUAUAUAUAUAUAUAUAUAUAUAUAUAUAUGGUAAUCAACAAGACGAUCAUUCU
rnacentral:lncRNA from 1 species